rnacentral:rRNA from 1 species
GAUGAACGCUGGCGGCGUGCCUAAUACAUGCAAGUCGAGCGAACGGACGAGAAGCUUGCUUCUCUGAUGUUAGCGGCGGACGGGUGAGUAACACGUGGAUAACCUACCUAUAAGACUGGGAUAACUUCGGGAAACCGGAUCUAAUACCGGAUGAUAUUUUGAACCGCAUGGUUCAAAAGUGAAAGACGGUCUUGCUGUCACUUAUAGAUGGAUCCGCGCUGCAUUAGCUAGUUGGUAAGGUAACGGCUUACCAAGGCAACGAUGCAUAGCCGACCUGAGAGGGUGAUCGGCCACACUGGAACUGAGACACGGUCCAGACUCCUACGGGAGGCAGCAGUAGGGAAUCUUACGCAAUGGGCGAAAGCCUGACGGAGCAACGCCGCGUGAGUGAUGAAGGUCUUCGGAUCGUAAAACUCUGUUAUUAGGGAAGAACAUAUGUGUAAGUAACUGUGCACAUCUUGACGGUACCUAAUCAGAAAGCCACGGCUAACUACGUG